rnacentral:rRNA from 1 species
AGUGAACGCUGGCGGUAGGCCUAACACAUGCAAGUCGAACGGCAGCACAGGAGAGCUUGCUCUCUGGGUGGCGAGUGGCGGACGGGUGAGGAAUACAUCGGAAUCUACUCUGUCGUGGGGGAUAACGUAGGGAAACUUACGCUAAUACCGCAUACGACCUACGGGUGAAAGCAGGGGACCUUCGGGCCUUGCGCGAUUGAAUGAGCCGAUGUCGGAUUAGCUGGUUGGCGGGGUAAAGGCCCACCAAGGCGACGAUCCGUAGCUGGUCUGAGAGGAUGAUCAGCCACACUGGAACUGAGACACGGUCCAGACUCCUACGGGAGGCAGCAGUGGGGAAUAUUGGACAAUGGGCGCAAGCCUGAUCCGGCCACACCGCGUGGGUGAAGGAGGCCUUGGGGUUGUAAAGCCCUUUUGUUGGGAAAGAAAUCCAGCUGGCUAAUACCCGGUUGGGAUGACGGUACCCAAAGAAUAAGCACCGGCUAACUUCGUGCCAGCCGCCGCGGUAA